rnacentral:rRNA from 1 species
GCAAGUCGUGCGAGAAAGUAUCUUCGGAUAUGAGUAGAGCGGCGGACGGGUGAGUAACGCGUAGGAAUCUACCUAGUAGAAGGGGAUAGCCCGAGGAAACUCGGAUUAAUACCGUAUACCUCCUUAGGGAGAAAGAGGGCCUCUCUUGAUGCUCUCGCUAUUAGAUGAGCCUGCGUAAGAUUAGCUUGUUGGUGAGGUAAUGGCUCACCAAGGCUACGAUCUUUAGCUGGUCUGAGAGGACGAUCAGCCACAUUGGGACUGAGACACGGCCCAGACUCCUACGGGAGGCAGCAGUGGGGAAUAUUGGACAAUGGGCGCAAGCCUGAUCCAGCCAUACCGCGUGUGUGAAGAAGGCCUUCGGGUUGUAAAGCACUUUAAGCAGGGAGAAAAAGCUAUAAGUUAAUACCUUAUAGCCCUGAUGUUACCUGCAGAAUAAGCACCGGCUAAUUCCGUGCCAGCAGCCGCGGUAAUACGGAAGGUGCAAGCGUUAAUCGGAAUUACUGGGCGUAAAGCGCGCGUAGGUGGUUUGUUAAGUUGGAUGUGAAAGCCCUGGGCUCAACCUAGGAACUGCAUCCAAAACUAACUCACUAGAGUACGAUAGAGGGAGGUAGAAUUCAUAGUGUAGCGGUGGAAUGCGUAGAUAUUAUGAAGAAUACCAGUGGCGAAGGCGGCCUCCUGGAUCUGUACUGACACUGAGGUGCGAAAGCGUGGGUAGCGAACAGGAUUAGAUACCCUGGUAGUCCACGCCGUACACGAUGACAACUAGCUGUUGGGAAACAAAGUUUCUCAGUGGCGCAGCUAACGUUUUAAG